UACGUAGGGUGCAAGCGUUGUCCGGAAUUAUUGGGCGUAAAGAGCUCGUAGGCGGUUUGUUGCGUCGGCUGUGAAAUCCCGAGGCUCAACCUCGGGUCUGCAGUCGAUACGAGCAAACUAGAGUGUUGCAGGGGAGACUGGAAUUCCUGGUGUAGCGGUGAAAUGCGCAGAUAUCAGGAGGAACACCGGUGGCGAAGGCGCCACUCUGGGCCGAAAACUGACGCUGAGGAGCGAAAGCGUGGGUAGCAAACAGG
rnacentral:rRNA from 1 species